rnacentral:rRNA from 1 species
UACGAAGGGGGCUAGCGUUGCUCGGAAUCACUGGGCGUAAAGCGCACGUAGGCGGCUUUCUAAGUCUGGUGUGAAAUCCUGGAGCUCAACUCCAGAACUGCCUUUGAUACUGGCGAUCUUGAGUCCGGGAGAGGUGAGUGGAACUCCGAGUGUAGAGGUGAAAUUCGUAGAUAUUCGGAAGAACACCAGUGGCGAAGGCGGCUCGCUGGCCCGGUACUGACGCUGAGGUGCGAAAGCGUGGGGAGCAAACAGG